GAUGAACGCUGACAGAAUGCUUAACACAUGCAAGUCUUUGGCGAAGCUGUGCUUGCACAGCCUAGCCAAGGCGGACGGGUGAGUAACGCGUAAGGAACUUGCCCUGCAGUCAGGGAUAACAGACGGAAACGACUGAUAAGACCUGGUAAAGUCAGGCGGACUCAUGUCCAGCCUGAUGAAAAGAGAUGCUGCAGGAGAGCCUUGCGUCCUAUUAGCUUGUUGGUGGGGUAACGGCCCACCAAGGCGAUGAUAGGUAGCCGGCCUGAGAGGGUGGACGGCCACAAGGGGACUGAGAUACGGCCCUUACUCCUACGGGAGGCAGCAGUGGGGAAUAUUGGACAAUGGGGGCAACCCUGAUCCAGCAAUUCUGUGUGCACGAUGAAGGUUUUCGGACUGUAAAGUGCUUUCAGCAGGGAAGAAAAAAAUGACGGUACCUGCAGAAGAAGCGACGGCUAAAUACGUG
rnacentral:rRNA from 1 species